UGGGCUGGGCUACAACGAGCCUGCUCUGCAGGCCGCCUCGGCGUCUUCUCCGGGAAAACUCCGCCGCCGUCUCCUCUCCGGCGCGCGUACGGCGGCGAGUCGCCCUGGCUGACGGCGAUGGUGGGGGCAUCCGCGAUCGUCUCCGCCCCCCGCACGCCUCAUGCUCCGCCACCACGAGGUAUAUAUCGAGCGCGCAUUGCGAUUUUUCCUUUACCCUUCUGGGUUUUUGUUCUAGCUAGGCAGGGCGGUCGGCUAAUCACGCCGCCGAGAUCGCCGGAGUCCGGCGGCCGCCGCCUGCGUAGGCCCCCUUCUCCACCCAGCGUCUCAACUGGUCGACUCGGUGGCGACUCUCCACCCCCGCCUCCGCUUUCUCCUCCCCCGCUUUCAUCGAAGGGGACUCUUGCAAGCCCAAAAUCACCAACGUGAGCAACCAUUUCACUAUCUAGGAGAAUAUUGCUUGGCUUGAGAUCACAGUGAAUAAUUGGCAAUGGCCUAUGUUGGUGAAGAUAAUCAAGUGCAGAAACCACAUCAAUGGCAAUGUCGAGCCUUUUGAUGAUAUUUAAAACCUUGUCUUCCCCAUUUUCCUCAAGAUGCUGGUGUAGCCAUUGGUCCAAAUUUCCAUUUGGCAUGAACUCAUAUACAAGAGCCUUGAAGUCAUGGCCCUGAAAAUCAAUACUUGAGCAGACUGUUAGGAUCUUCACAAGAUUUCGAUGCCGAACACAUCUCAGAGCCUCACAUUCUGCAAUGAAGCUUUGAGAAGCCCCACGCUGUUGGAGAUUCAGCACUUUAACUGCAACAGUUACUUCUUGGUCUUGGAUCGUCAUUCGUCCUUUGUACACUGAUCCAAAGCUUCCUACUCCAAUGAGGUUAUCAGGAGCAAAAACAUUUGUUGCAUUGACUAAUUCAACAUAAGAUACUCUUAGAUGCGAAUCAUUGAUAAGUGCCAAGUCCGAUUUUGCUUGUGUCUUAUUCCUUUGCCAGAAUGCAAAUAGAGCUAAAAGCAAGAUAAGCAAUAGGAUUCCACUGCUUAUGGAAAUUGCUACGAUAAGCUUCAAAGACCGCUUUUUGGUGGAGUGAGUGGAGCAAAGAGGCAGCUUCAAAUCAGGUAUACCCCCACACAAGCCUUCAUUCCCUUCAAUUGCAGUUUCAUUUAUAUUGAGAAAUAUCCCAUCAUUAGGAACUGGCCCUUCAAAAUGGUUGAAUGAGAGGUUCAAACUAGCUAGGCCGUUCAUGCUUGCUAGAAAUUGAGGAAUGUCUCCAGAAAAGUUGUUGUGUGAAAGAUCAAGUACUUGAAGACCUUUCAGCCGACUCACUGAUGCUGGGAUUGGCCCUUGAAGGAAGUUCCCCUGUAUCUUAAAAUAUUGCAGGCUUUGACAAUCACCAAUAGAUGGAGGAAUUUCACCAGAAAUUUGGUUAUUAGAGAAAUCGAUGUCUGCAAUAUUUUUCAAGUUACUGAUUUCCAAUGGUAGUGACCCACUGAACAUGUUGCUUUGGAAGUACAUGAAAUCAGACAGGGUAGAUAUGAGAAAAACCUCCCUUGGAAUUGGACCGCUGAGCAUAUUGUGCUGAAUAUCAAUUUUUUCUAAAGUACAAUUUUUAAGAUCGGAUGGCAGAGGCCCACUAAGUGAAUUUUGUCCAAGAUAGAGUUUAUUCAACGAUGUGAGAUUACCAAGGGCAGGUGGAAUUUGGCCCAAUAGAUUAUUGAAUCCAAGGUCUAAAUGACUCAGCUUCCAGAGUGUACCAAGUGAGCUAGGAAUAUUACCCUCAAAAGAAUUGUUGCUCAUGAAAAGGUACAAUAAAUUAACAAGGUUUCCAAUUCCUUCAGGGAUCUUGCCACUUAUCAUGUUUUCGCUUAGGGCGAAAGCUUUCAAAUUUGUAGAAAGAUUUGCUACUGCAUUUGGUAGAGUCCCUCGAAAUUUGUUGCUGCUGAAAUCUAGAAACUCCAACUGACUACUAUUAGUUAAACUAGAAAGGAAUCCCCAACCAUAACUGUCAUUUGCCUGGAGUUGAUUGUUUUGAAUUGUCAGGACUGACAAACUAUUUAGGCCAUCAACGCAAGGAGGAACUACUCCUGAAAUCAUAUUCAUUUCUAUUGAAAAUGAGCUAAGCAUAGAAGAGUUGCACAUCCAAGUUGGAAUGGCACCCUCGAACUGAUUGUACCCUGCAUUAAAUAUUUGAAGCAAUGGGAAGUUGACUCUGUUGCCAGUUGGUAAUGAUCCUGUUAACUGGUUAUCCCGUACAUUGAAUAUUCUAAGAGAGGAGAGAUUGGAAAUGGAAGAAGGAAUGUACCCAGUGAGCUGAUUCCUAUCUAGGUACAAAUCUGUUAGAGAAUGAAGAUUUCCUAGGGAGGGAGGAAUGCUACCUGUAAGAUUGUUUUCAGCAAGAACAAGUCCAGAUAGCUUCUCAAGUUUUGCUAAUGAUUCAGGAAUUCCUCCAGUUAAUCUGUUCCCUCCCAAGCUUAGGUAAACUAGUGAAGAGAGGUUUCCUAGCCAAGAAGGGAUGCCACCAUGAAGGUUGUUUUCUUGCAAAAUUAGGGCAGUCAGAGAUGACAGUCCUUGCAAUGACACAAUCUCCCCCUGAAAUCUGUUAGUGCCAAGAUUAAGAAUGGUUAGUGAAGAUAGGUUCCCCAAGAACGUUGGAACUGGCCCUGAAAGUUGGUUCCCCCUCAGUUGCAAAUUCUUGAUCCUCUGAAGGUUACCAAGAGAAGAUGGAACUGAACCUGUCAAGUGAUUGUAGCUCAGGAUAAGACUUACUAGACUGGUGAGGUUUCCAAUCUCUGACGGAAUGCUUCCUGCAAGGCUGUUGUUGUAGAGGUUAAGGACCUCUAAGCUGCCCAGCUUACCUAUCAUGCGAGGCAUCGCUCCAUCAAGCAUGUUGUACUGCAACUGGACUGUGCGCAGCAUGGACAAAUCACCCAUGGCUGGAGGUAUCCCUCCUGAUAGGUGGUUGAAUGCCAGACUGAUGUUCUCAAGCUGUUGGCAUAGUGACAGUGAUGCCGGAAUGCCACCUUGCAGAGAAUUAUAGCUCAGGUUGACAUGCUGGAGGUCGAGAAGACGACCAAGCUCUGAAGGGAUGGUACCAGUUAGAUGAUUCACAGGGAGAUCAAGCUUUCUCAGGUAGGUGAGGUUGCCUAUGGAAGGAUCAAUGGUGCCAGAAAGAUCAAGGUUGCUGAGGUCCAGCGCCACCACACGGCCACGGCAGCGUCCCUGGAUGCCGCACGUCACACCUCGCCAUUGGCAGACAUGGAGCGAUUGGUUGCCACCCCACGAGGCCAUUGCUGACGACGGAUCACGGGUUAUUUGCGACUUGAAGGCCAUCAGUGCAAGGUGGUCGGUGGCAGGCUGAGCUCUGGUCGUGGGAGCUGGUGGAACAGCAGUUGCAAGGAGCAGCAGCGUGAGCAAGAAAGAAAACCCGGUCGCCACCAUUGCUAGAAAGAAGGAAGCGAGGUCUGUAUUUUCAAAAACAGAAGCUUAGGUGGUGAUUGCAGAGGCUACUCAGUCCAGCUUUACCAGUUCAUGGGAGGAAUGGUUGCUUCUGCUCUAUAGAGACAACACAUAUUCUCCUGCCUGAAUAUAAGCAUGGUGUGUUGGUCGUCAAGAUAAAUCAAUAGCUUGGAUCCCAAUCAAGUUGACACUUUCUCAGGUAGUACCUGCACUUUGGUCAACACCCUUCAGUUGUAGUAAAUUGAUUACCAACAUUCUGUUCUGUUGCAACUUUAGUCAAUCAUCAGAUAGCCGGCCUCCUACCAGAAGUUUACAGGUUCCCUGGUCAAACUUUGCUGCCAGCUUGUUUGGGUUAAAGACAGAAGGAUGAAUUAGGCCGGCUGGCUGGCUGGCCGGCCUUGAUUUGUCCUUUAUGAAACAUUUCUACGCAUAAUUUACGGAACAAUAUUAAAGGUCUUCCGUUGUUCCCAUAUAUCUGGUGUAGAAGAGCUGAGCUGUGCGUGUCAAUUAUUUGACGUUGAUGGCAAAUUGGCAAUAUGGUGCUAUGCUACUAUAGUGUACUUAUACAAUAAGGAAUAUAGCCAUCGGAGGGGAAGCAUUCUCAUUUGGACUGCACAUAUCAACUAAUUUGGACUGCAUAUGCUGCUCGCAGGUAUGAGUAAUGACACAGACU
rnacentral:lncRNA from 1 species